ensembl:lncRNA
UGGUUUUGGAUGUAAGCAGUUGGAAACCGGCCACUAGGAUGUAAGCAGUUGGAAACCGGCCACUGGGGGCAACAGUGAGCACUAGUAGGUUCUGGUUUAGGAUGUAAGCAGUUGGAAACCGGCCACUGGGGGCAACAGUGAGCACUAGUAGGUUCUGGUUUAGGAUGUAAGCAGUUGGAAACCGGCCACUGGGGGCAACAGUGAGCACUAGUAGGUUCUGGUUUUGGAUGUAAGCAGUUGGAAACCGGCCACUGGGGGCAACAGUGAGCACUAGUAGGUUCUGGUUUUGGAUGUAAGCAGUUGCCUCUGGUGUUGGAAUCCAGCAAUAGGAAGUUGCUUUGAUAGUUUUGUUUUAAGCCUAUCCCUUAACGAUUCUGAC